UACGAAGGGGGGCUAGCGUUGCUCGGAAUCACUGGGCGUAAAGGGUGCGUAGGCGGGUUUUUAAGUCAGAGGUGAAAUCCUGGAGCUCAACUCCAGAACUGCCUUUGAUACUGAAGAUCUUGAGUUCGGGGAGAGGUGAGUGGAACUGCGAGUGUAGAGGUGAAAUUCGUAGAUAUUCGCAAGAACACCAGUGGCGAAAGGCGGCUCACUGGCCCGAUACUGACGCUGAGGCACGAAAGCGUGGGGAGCAAACAGG
rnacentral:rRNA from 1 species